UACGUAGGGUGCAAGCGUUAAUCGGAAUUACUGGGCGUAAAGAGCUCGUAGGCGGUUUGUCGCGUCUGCCGUGAAAGUCCGGGGCUCAACUCCGGAUCUGCGGUGGGUACGGGCAGACUAGAGUGAUGUAGGGGAGACUGGAAUUCCUGGUGUAGCGGUGAAAUGCGCAGAUAUCAGGAGGAACACCGAUGGCGAAGGCAGGUCUCUGGGCCACUACUGACGCUGAGAAGCGAAAGCAUGGGGAGCGAACAGG
rnacentral:rRNA from 1 species